AGAAGAACAUAGGCAGGAGUGGGUGGACUAAGAGAUAUACCCACAAGGAAAGGAAGUUCUACCUGAGUUGCUAAGAAGAAUUAGAGUUGUGGAGCAGGAACUGAAUCAAAUAGAAGAAGAUAGUGAAUGAUUGAAAGAUAAGCUUAGAGCAAUUGAGCAAGAAAACAAGGAAUAGAAAUCAACAAUUGGAAGACUGGGAAGGCAGAAAAUGAAGAUGGAUGAGAAUAUUAUGGUGUAUCGACAUAGAGGGAAACUAAUGUGGAUGGGUCUGUUUGUGGCAUGGGUUCUUGGUGUC
rnacentral:lncRNA from 1 species